AACACAUGCAAGUCGAACGGUAACAGGUCUUCGGAUGCUGACGAGUGGCGGACGGGUGAGUAGUGCGUAGGAAUCUGUCUUUUAGUGGGGGACAACCCAGGGAAACUUGGGCUAAUACCGCAUGAGCCCUGAGGGGGAAAGCGGGGGAUCUUCGGACCUCGCGCUAAGAGAGGAGCCUACGUCCGAUUAGCUAGUUGGCGGGGUAAAGGCCCACCAAGGCGACGAUCGGUAGCUGGUCUGAGAGGACGACCAGCCACACUGAGACUGAGACACGGCCCAGACUCCUACGGGAGGCAGCAGUGGGGAAUUUUUCGCAAUGGGGGCAACACUGACGAAGCAAUGCCGCGUGGAUGAAGAAGGCCUUCGGGUUGUAAAGUCCUUUCGUGGAGGACGAAAAGGUGGGUUCUAAUACAAUCUGCUAUUGACGUGAAUCCAAGAAGAAGCACCGGCUAACUCCGUGCCAGCCGCCGCGGUAAUAC
rnacentral:rRNA from 1 species